rnacentral:lncRNA from 1 species
AUGAGACCGGCGGUCUCGGGCCGGCCCCCUGCAGCCUGCUCCCCCGCGGUGGCCAGGGGCACGACCAGGUGUCCGGGAGGGCUGAUACUGGCCGUCUGUGUGUUUGUUUGGGCCCGUGUUGACCGUGGCGGCACUUCAGCGGCCCCCACAUCAGGGAUCUGGUCUCCGACGAUCGUGAGUCCCCCACAGGGUGGGGCCUCGGUCUACAUGGGCUUCUCAGAGCCCUCGGAGGACUGCUUAAGGCGGGGCAGUUUUAAGAUGAGAGGUGACAGCAUGGGGAAGCGCCCUCCUGAUGCCCGGCCUAAGUUCCAAGGGACAAAGGGAGCCGGGGUGCCGAGCACACGUCCUACCUGGAGCCAGGUGUGCUGGAGCUGGACAGCAGGUGGCAGUGGCUGGAAGGCAGCGGACGGAGGUUCGGAGGCUGGCCGGCGGUGCGGUGGAAGAGGUGGGUCUGGAUGGAGUUCUGGGGUCCGGGCCAGUGCCCACGGCCAGGCUUUCCUCCCCACAGGGCGAACCCACACAGUGGGUUGAGUCUGUUUAAAGGGGCAGGGACAGGACCCCAGGCACCCAAAGUGCCUGCCAGCUUUCUGUCAGGCCCCUGUGCCCGGGUGCCCGCGGAGUCCCUGGCACCUCCCUUGGAGGAGGCGGAGGAGGCUUUGAAACCUUGUCUGCAGGGCUGAAGGAGGCGUGGCACCCCAGCCUCCAGAAUCCCUGGGGCCUGGGAGAGCCGACCGAGAGAGGACCCAUGUGAGUCUCUGUUCUCUCACACAAAAUGGGGACCAAGAGACAUACGCACUUGGCACCUGGUGGGCACUCAGCCAAACGAGGUCUCUUUCUCCUCCUGGGGAAGUAGGAACAAACCCCUGCCCUGCUGGCUGGUAGGAGGUUGUGGUCAGAUGAGCUACAAGGUUUUGUUGGCGGUAAAGUGCUAAGUAGAUGAGCAAAUCAUUUGAUAGAUUAGAAGUGCUUGGAGGAAAACAAAGGAAGGAAAGGUGACAGGUCCCUGAGAAGGGGAAUCUGACUGAGACCUGAAGGAGGAGGAGUGAGUGUUUGGGGAUCCAGGCAAAGGAUGCUGGGCAGAGGGAACAGCCUGUGCAAAGGCCCGGGGGUAGAGACUUAUCUUGGCAUCUGAGCAGCAGCAGGAGGGCCAGUGUGGCUGGAGGAGAGAGAGGGAGGAGAGAAGGGCCAUCAGGUGACAAGAGGGGGCUUGGGACAGGUGGGGGAAGAGCCGGAUCAUAUGGGGCACUGGUUAAUGCUGGGUCAUGAGGCAUGGUGUGGUCUGCCUCUCACAGGCUUGCCUUGCAGUGGAGACUCAGGCUCAGACAGGGAGGUGGGAGCAGAGAGAGGGGAAGACAUGACCAGAUUCUGAACACGUUUGGAAAAUAAAACCACUGGAACUUGCUGAGGGCUAGAGUGU